AUACUGGACCGGACGAUUGCUGUCUUCGCGAGAAGAGAGAGGAAAGUCCGAACUCCGUAGAGCAGUGUGCCGGAUAACGUCCGGGAUGGCGGGUUCAAGCCCGUCAGACGGAAAGUGCAACAGAGAAAAUACCGCCCGGGCCGCAAGGCGCGGGUAAGGGUGAAAAGGUGCGGUAAGAGCGCACCGCCUGGGCAGUAAUGCACAGGGCAUGGCAAACCCCACACGGAGCAAGACCAAAUAGGAAGGGAAUAAGCAGUAUUGGGCCAAGGCGAAAGCCGGGAGCCCGUUGAGAGUCCCAGUGACUCUUUUAGGCCGGCAGCGAAAGCUGUUCUGUGCCUCUUGACUGCAUGCGUGCCUGCUCGGCGCGCUUAACCUUCGGGUAGGUCGCUUGAGCCGUUCAGUAAUGGACGGCCUAGAGGAAUGAUCGUCAGCGGCGGCAACGCCGUUACAAAAUUCGGCUUACAGGUCCAGUAUCAAU
rnacentral:RNase_P_RNA from 1 species